CCUACGGGGGGCUGCAGUGGGGAAUAUUGGACAAUGGGCGAAAGCCUGAUCCAGCCAUGCCGCGUGUGUGAAGAAGGCCUUCGGGUUGUAAAGCACUUUCAGUGGGGAAGAAAGCCUUGGGGCUAAUACCCUCGAGGAAGGACAUCACCCACAGAAGAAGCACCGGCUAACUCCGUGCCAGCAGCCGCGGUAAUACGGAGGGUGCGAGCGUUAAUCGGAAUUACUGGGCAUAAAGCGCGCGUAGGCGGUCUGAUAAGCCGGUUGUGAAAGCCCCGGGCUCAACCUGGGAACGGCAUCCGGAACUGUCAGGCUAGAGUGCAGGAGAGGAAGGUAGAAUUCCCGGUGUAGCGGUGAAAUGCGUAGAGAUCGGGAGGAAUACCAGUGGCGAAGGCGGCCUUCUGGACUGACACUGACGCUGAGGUGCGAAAGCGUGGGUAGCAAACAGGAUUAGAUACCCGGGUAGUC
rnacentral:rRNA from 1 species